rnacentral:rRNA from 1 species
UACGGAGGGGGCAAGCGUUAUUCGGAAUUAUUGGGCGUAAAGGGCGCGUAGGCGGCUAGAUGUGUCAAAGGUGAAAUCCCUCGGCUCAACUGAGGAACUGCCUUUGAAACUGUCUGGCUUGAGGCCGGGAGAGGGUAGCGGAAUUCCCAGUGCAGCGGUGAAAUGCGUAGAUAUUGGGAGGAACACCAGUGGCGAAGGCGGCUACCUGGACCGGUUCUGACGCUGAGGCGCGAAAGCGUGGGUAGCAAACAGG